rnacentral:rRNA from 1 species
AACGAACGCUGGCGGCGUGCCUAACACAUGCAAGUCGAACGUGAUUGGAAGCUUGCUUCCAUGAAAGUGGCGCACGGGUGAGUAACGCGUAGAUAAUCUACCUGGUGAUCCGGGAUAACACUUCGAAAGGGGUGCUAAUACCUGAUAAGCCCACGGAGUCUUAGGACUCUGCGGGAAAAGGGGGGACCUUCGGGCCUUCCGUCAUCAGAUGAGUCUGCGUACCAUUAGCUAGUUGGUAGGGUAAAGGCCUACCAAGGCGACGAUGGUUAGCUGGUCUGAGAGGAUGAUCAGCCACACUGGAACUGAGACACGGUCCAGACUCCUACGGGUGGCAG